UGGGGAGGUGUGGAGUCAGCAU
rnacentral:miRNA from 1 species